GGGAGUGAAAAGCUUCGACAAAUUAUUUUCUAUCAAAUUAGCAAGCGGAGUGGCAACCUCAUUAAAAGUUGCAAAACAAUAAGUGCAAACUUAUUCAACAAACAGCCAGCUUUAGCUUACGCUUAACUGGCCAUCGCUCAACUAAAGCUUGAUAAGUUAUUAAGCGGUGUCAAACAUCAAGCUCUGCCUUGAUACGCUGAUAUUCAAGGCGAAACUAAUCAGCACAAAGUUUAAAGUGUUUUGUUAGAUUAUAGCUUUAAAUUUUUCAAAAUAAUCUGACUAAGCUUGUAGAAAAUUUGAUAGUAAUAAUUUGGACGCGGAUGCAAUUUCCGCCACUUCCACUC
rnacentral:tmRNA from 2 species